UACAGAGGUCUCAAGCGUUGUUCGGAUUCAUUGGGCGUAAAGGGUGCGCAGGCGGCACGGUAAGUCGGGUGUGAAAUCUUGGGGCUUAACUCCGAAACUGCAUUCGAUACUGCCGUGCUUGAGGACUGGAGAGGAGACUGGAAUUUACGGUGUAGCGGUGAAAUGCGUAGAUAUCGUAAGGAAGACCAGUGGCGAAGGCGGGUCUCUGGACAGUUCCUGACGCUGAGGCACGAAGGUCAGGGGAGCAAACGGG
rnacentral:rRNA from 1 species